GGGCCAUUAGCUCAGCUGGUAGAGCGCGUCAUUCGCAUUGACGAGGUCAGCGGUUCGACUCCGCUAUGGUCCACCC
rnacentral:tRNA from 1 species